rnacentral:rRNA from 1 species
AGAGUUUGGAACCUGGCUCAGAUUGAACGCUGGCGGCAGGCCUAACACAUGCAAGUCGAACGGUAGCACAGAGAGCUUGCUCUCGGGUGACGAGUGGCGGACGGGUGAGUAAUGUCUGGGAAACUGCCUGAUGGAGGGGGAUAACUACUGGAAACGGUAGCUAAUACCGCAUAACGUCGCAAGACCAAAGAGGGGGACCUUCGGGCCUCUUGCCAUCAGAUGUGCCCAGAUGGGAUUAGCUAGUAGGUGGGGUAACGGCUCACCUAGGCGACGAUCCCUAGCUGGUCUGAGAGGAUGACCAGCCACACUGGAACUGAGACACGGUCCAGACUCCUACGGGAGGCAGCAGUGGGGAAUAUUGCACAAUGGGCGCAAGCCUGAUGCAGCCAUGCCGCGUGUAUGAAGAAGGCCUUCGGGUUGUAAAGUACUUUCAGCGGGGAGGAAGGUGUUGUGGUUAAUAACCACAGCAAUUGACGUUACCCGCAGAAGAAGCACCGGCUAACUCCGUGCCAGCAGCCGCGGUAAUACGGAGGGUGCAAGCGUUAAUCGGAAUUACUGGGCGUAAAGCGCACGCAGGCGGUCUGUCAAGUCGGAUGUGAAAUCCCCGGGCUCAACCUGGGAACUGCAUUCGAAACUGGCAGGCUAGAGUCUUGUAGAGGGGGGUAGAAUUCCAGGUGUAGCGGUGAAAUGCGUAGAGAUCUGGAGGAAUACCGGUGGCGAAGGCGGCCCCCUGGACAAAGACUGACGCUCAGGUGCGAAAGCGUGGGGAGCAAACAGGAUUAGAUACCCUGGUAGUCCACGCCGUAAACGAUGUCGACUUGGAGGUUGUGCCCUUGAGGCGUGGCUUCCGGAGCUAACGCGUUAAGUCGACCGCCUGGGGAGUACGGCCGCAAGGUUAAAACUCAAAUGAAUUGACGGGGGCCCGCACAAGCGGUGGAGCAUGUGGUUUAAUUCGAUGCAACGCGAAGAACCUUACCUACUCUUGACAUCCAGAGAACUUAGCAGAGAUGCUUUGGUGCCUUCGGGAACUCUGAGACAGGUGCUGCAUGGCUGUCGUCAGCUCGUGUUGUGAAAUGUUGGGUUAAGUCCCGCAACGAGCGCAACCCUUAUCCUUUGUUGCCAGCGGUCCGGCCGGGAACUCAAAGGAGACUGCCAGUGAUAAACUGGAGGAAGGUGGGGAUGACGUCAAGUCAUCAUGGCCCUUACGAGUAGGGCUACACACGUGCUACAAUGGCGCAUACAAAGAGAAGCGACCUCGCGAGAGCAAGCGGACCUCAUAAAGUGCGUCGUAGUCCGGAUUGGAGUCUGCAACUCGACUCCAUGAAGUCGGAAUCGCUAGUAAUCGUAGAUCAGAAUGCUACGGUGAAUACGUUCCCGGGCCUUGUACACACCGCCCGUCACACCAUGGGAGUGGGUUGCAAAAGAAGUAGGUAGCUUAACCUUCGGGAGGGCGCUACCCCUUUUUGAUUCUUGAGUGGGGGGGAGGUCGUACCAGGAAGCCCCAAAAAAA